rnacentral:lncRNA from 1 species
GGUGUCUAUUAUCAUUACAAUAAUGAUGAGCAUUAGAGAUAAAUUGCAAGAGUUGUCUUGCAAGAGUGAAGCAGCAGCAGGAUGCAAAAGUUGCAUAUGCUCGUGGUUUGUAUAUAAUACAAACUUAUUUAUCAUUAAGUGUUUUAGCUUCAAAAUUUUAGGUUAAUGAUAUCUUAUAUAGGUUCCACUUAUGCAAAGUAUUACUGGACCUAUAAAGCUGAAGAG